UACGGAGGGUGCAAACGUUGCUCGGAAUCAUUGGGCGUAAAGCGCACGUAGGCGGUCCGUUAUGUCGGGUGUGAAAGCCCUCGGCUUAACCGAGGAAGUGCAUUCGAAACUGGCGGACUUGAGUACCGGAGAGGGUCGCGGAAUUCCCGGUGUAGAGGUGAAAUUCGUAGAUAUCGGGAGGAACACCAGUGGCGAAGGCGGCGACCUGGACGGAUACUGACGCUGAGGUGCGAAAGCCAGGGGAGCAAACGGG
rnacentral:rRNA from 1 species